UACGUGGGUCACGAGCGUUAUCCGGUGUAACUGGGCGUAAAGAGUAUGUAGGCGGUUUUAUAAGUUACUUUUCAAAGUCCGGUGCUUACCAUCGGGAAGGGGAGUAAUACUAUGGAACUCGAGUUUUCUUUAGGGUAAUCGGAAUUCAUAGAGGAGUAGUGAAAUGCGUUGAUACUAUGAAGAACACCAGUGGCGAAGGCGGAUUACUGGAAGAUAACUGACGCUGAGAUACGAAAGCUAGGGGAGCGAACCGG
rnacentral:rRNA from 1 species